GACCUCGUAGCUCAACUGGAUAGAGCAGGUCCGUCCUAAGGACAAGGUUGCAGGUUCAACUCCUGCCGAGGUCA
rnacentral:tRNA from 1 species